GACGAACGCUGGCGGCGUGCUUAACACAUGCAAGUCGAACGGAAAGGCCCUGCUUUUGUGGGGUGCUCGAGUGGCGAACGGGUGAGUAACACGUGAGUAACCUGCCCUUGACUUUGGGAUAACUUCAGGAAACUGGGGCUAAUACCGGAUAGGAGCUCCUGCUGCAUGGUGGGGGUUGGAAAGUUUCGGCGGUUGGGGAUGGACUCGCGGCUUAUCAGCUUGUUGGUGGGGUAGUGGCUUACCAAGGCUUUGACGGGUAGCCGGCCUGGGAGGGUGAGCGGCCACACUGGACCUGAGACGCGGGCCAGACGCAGAAGGGAGGCAGCAGGAGGGACGCCUGCGCAAGGGGCGAAAGUCUGACGGAGCAACGCCGCGGGAGUGAUGCAGGUCGGGGGAGCGGAAAAGUCGGGGAGUAGGGAAGAAAAAAGGGGUAAGUAACUAUGCACGUCGUGACGGUACCUAAUAAGAAAGACAAGGCUAACUACGUG
rnacentral:rRNA from 1 species